GAUGAACGCUGGCGGCGUGCCUAAUACAUGCAAGUCGAGCGAACAGACGAGGAGCUUGCUCCUCUGACGUUAGCGGCGGACGGGUGAGUAACACGUGGAUAACCUACCUAUAAGACUGGGAUAACUUCGGGAAACCGGAGCUAAUACCGGAUAAUAUAUUGAACCGCAUGGUUCAAUAGUGAAAGACGGUUUUGCUGUCACUUAUAGAUGGAUCCGCGCCGCAUUAGCUAGUUGGUAAGGUAACGGCUUACCAAGGCAACGAUGCGUAGCCGACCUGAGAGGGUGAUCGACCACACUGGAACUGCGACACGGUCCAGACUCCUACGGGAGGCAGCAGUAGGGAAUCUUCCGCAAUGGGCGAAAGCCUGACGGAGCAACGCCGCGUGAGUGAUGAAGGUCUUCGGAUCGUAAAACUCUGUUAUUAGGGAAGAACAAAUGUGUAAGUAACUAUGCACGUCUUGACGGUACCUAAUCAGAAAGCCACGGCUAACUACGUG
rnacentral:rRNA from 1 species